rnacentral:rRNA from 1 species
GCCCUACGCUGGCGGCGUGCUCAAUACAUGUCAGUCGAGCGAACUUGCGGGAGCUGCUCCCAAAAGUUAGCGGCGGACGGGUGAGUAACACGUGGGCAACCUGCCUAUAAGACUGGGAUAACUUCGGGAAACCGGAGCUAAUACCGGAUCAUUCUUUUCUACACAUGUAGGAAAGCUGAAAGACGGUUUACGCUGUCACUUAUAGAUGGGCCCGCGGCGCAUUAGCUAGUUGGUGAGGUAACGGCUCACCAAGGCCACGAUGCGUAGCCGACCUGAGAGGGUGAUCGGCCACACUGGGACUGAGACACGGCCCAGACUCCUACGGGAGGCAGCAGUAGGGAAUCUUCCGCAAUGGACGAAAGUCUGACGGAGCAACGCCGCGUGAGUGAUGAAGGUUUUCGGAUCGUAAAACUCUGUUGUUAGGGAAGAACAAGUACGAGAGUAACUGCUCGUACCUUGACGGUACCUAACCAGAAAGCCACGGCUAACUACGUGCCAGCAGCCGCGGUAAUACG